rnacentral:rRNA from 1 species
UACGUAGGGCGCAAGCGUUGUCCGGAAUUAUUGGGCGUAAAGAGCUCGUAGGCGGCUUGUCACGUCGGAUGUGAAAGCCCGAGGCUUAACCUCGGGUCUGCAUUCGAUACGGGCUAGCUAGAGUGUGGUAGGGGAGAUCGGAAUUCCUGGUGUAGCGGUGAAAUGCGCAGAUAUCAGGAGGAACACCGGUGGCGAAGGCGGAUCUCUGGGCCAUUACUGACGCUGAGGAGCGAAGGCGUGGGGAGCGAACAGG